rnacentral:ncRNA from 2 species
UCGUUCUCAUUGGGGAGUCUGAUACCAGACUGAGAUUGCUUUUUGCGGGACCCACUGAACCUGAACCAGGUCAUGCUGGCGUAGGAAUUGAGAUAAUCUGACCA